rnacentral:lncRNA from 1 species
AUUGGGAAAUGUAUGCCGAAAGUUUAAGGUAAUGUGUGCUUGCAAGUAGAUGAGUGGUUUGUUGAUGGAGUAGCCUUUGGGCUAUAUGUGUUUGGUUGAGAGUUUCAUAGGAGAGUGAGUGCAUUGGGUGGAGCAGGUAUAAGGUUUUAAUGGUGGAUUCUGUAUAAGGUUGAAUUAAAGUGGUUGGCAUUUUUAUAAUGUGGAUCAUUCAACUUCGACUGCAUGCCUUCAAUGUUUGCAAUAAAUAAUCAAUUUUCA